GAUCCUGCACGUUACAAUAGGCAAAAAAGCUUUUAGGAAAUAAAAAUAUUUUAAAUUGAUCCAUUACGAUUUUUCAAUCUUCUUGAGUACAUUGUAAAGUGGGAAAAAGACAAGAGA